rnacentral:lncRNA from 1 species
UUUUUUUUUUUUUGAGAUGGAGUCUUGCUCUGUCACUUAGGCUGGGGUGCAGUGGCGCAUCUCCGCUCACUGCAAGCUCCGCCUCUCAGGUUCACGCCAUUCUCCUGCCUCAGCCUCCCACAUAGCUGGGACUACCGGCACCCACCAUCAUGCCCAGCUAAUUUUUUCUAUUUUUUUAGUAGAGACGGGGUUUCACCGUGUUAGCCAGGAUGGUCUCAAUCUCCUGACCUCGGCAUCUGCCCGCCUCGGCCUCCCAAAGUGCUGGGAUUACAGGCGUGAGCCACCAUGCCCAACCUCCACAUGUCAUUUCAUGCAGUGACCUUACGUCUUAUUCUGAGCAUGAGGUGAGAAAUGCAGAUUGGUUUAAUCUUAGUGGGCUUGGUUUUCAGGGCCUCUUAGUAUGAGCAUCUUGCCUGUGGGAAGCAUGUGAUCCCAGUGUUGAAGACACACAGUAUUCACACAGUAUGGCUCUAAAUACAAGCCACCUAUUUUAUCUCGCGCUUGGGUGAGAAGCAAGCCAUCUGCUCUAGUGCUGGGAGAAGGCUGUCUGUGUUGGACUGACUUAUGGAGAGACACUGCUUAGGUGUCCAGCAUACCUGGGGCCUUUCUGGUGGUUUGGUUUUCUGUGAUGUUCCCUUAUUUUUGAAUCUAACCUCCUGCACUCUUUCUAAAGUGUGUAUGAUGCUAUUGUGACUAAUGAAAGACAUAUUGAAAGUGUGCUGAAUUCAUAACACUUUUUUCAUUAUUAUUUUCUCAGUUAAUAGACACUAAAAUACAACUGACCUUCAAUAGAGGUCAUUAAAUUAGGAGUCAUCUUUUUGGAAAAGGCUGGAAGCUGUUAACCUGGAGCUGCAGCUGUUACAGAUUCCCAAGCCAAGCUGAAAGUCUAUGUUGGCCUCUGCCCCCAAAAGGCUGAGAUGCUCUCGAGUUUGGGUAAAGUAUAGUUAAUUGGACUUUAAUUCUUUGAAAAUGGACAAGCUCAAUAUGACUUGUAUGAUCGCUCUUGGUUAAUCAGAUUGUUAAAUUUACGGACCUCCUUUUCCCACACUCAUUUCCAAGACAGAUUCAGGCUACGUCUGCCUGUUUUGAUGCAUGCAAUUUACUUUAAAAUCCUGCAGUACAGAGCGCGUGAUGACAUGUAUAUGUCAGUUGGCUUAAGCUACACUUGAGGGGCAGUCCAUGGUCCUGACCAGGAACCUACACUCUGAGAGUGGACUCCAGCAUUUAAUCAGAAAGGCCACACUCCUGAGGCUGUUCCAGAAGGGCGUCUUCAUCUUUCUUUACCACUGACCUUUGAUCAUCACUAGAGACUUUGCUAAUGAGGCUAAUGAGCUCAAAGAAAGUUCCAAAUGGGUUUCAUUGGUGAAAAACAAAGAGCUCGUUAUUUAGCAUAAUAGAUGUAAUAAGUGAGUUCUCACUGGUGAGUUAGUGGUAUUCAAGAUGAGAAGUUUGGCUUAGAUAUUUUCCCAAAGCUCCUCAUCCUUGCCUGAAGGAGAUCUGAAUAGCUUGCAGACACUGUCCCCUUCUCCCACAGGGAUGGUACUUGAGACUUGAGCCCCCAAACAGUCCUUCAUUCAGCAGAUAGUUUGGAGGAUUUGGGUUGUCCGAUCAUCAUUGCUAGAUUAGCUCUCUCCUGCCUCUUGAGUGCUGUCAUAACUGCCUGGGGUGAGUGGUCCAUGUGAGGUGUGGUCAGGACACCUACAAGGACAGGCAGCUGGGAUUUUGUUGAUCUUAAACACCAAGUUUUAUAGCCUAGUGUCUGCUUACUAAUAAGUGUCUGCAUAUGGCACAGGGUUUGGUCUGAGACGUGCUUUUAUUAUAAGCUGGUAGCAAAGUUGCAGGAGAGUAGCUCAUUCUCAACCCCCUCCAACUACUGGUGGUUAUCAGUAACUACCACAAAGAACUAAAUAUAUGCUCAUGGUCAAAUUGCCUUAUGUUAGUUUAUACUACCUGGCAAAAGUACUACCUUUUGCACAAAUGGGAGGGAUUUUGUUUUCCACUUUAUGUAAUAUCCAUUUAAGUAACAACACGGACAACCAAAUCCCUAGCAAAUUACCUCUUACUUAGUGAAGAGGCACAACUUUCAUCUUUAAAAUA